UACAGAGACUGCAAGCGUUAUUCGGAUUCACUGGGCGUAAAGGGUGCGCAGGCGGCCGGGUGUGUCAGAUGUGAAAUCCCGAGGCUCAACCUCGGAACUGCGUCUGAAACUACUCGGCUAGAGUACUGGAGAGGGUAACGGAAUUCACGGUGUAGCAGUGAAAUGCGUAGAUAUCGUGAGGAACACCAGAGGCGAAGGCGGUUACCUGGACAGUUACUGACGCUCAGGCACGAAAGCAUGGGGGAGCAAAAGGG
rnacentral:rRNA from 1 species